UACAGAGGGUGCGAGCGUUAAUCGGAAUUACUGGGCGUAAAGCGUGCGUAGACGGUUUCGUAAGUCGGGUGUGAAAUCCCCGGGCUCAACCUGGGAAUUGCAUUCGAAACUGCGAGGCUAGGGUACGGAAGAGGGAAGCGGAAUUUCUGGUGUAGCGGUGAAAUGCGUAGAUAUCUGGAGGAACACCGGUGGCGAAGGCGGCAUCCUGGACCGGCAUUGACGCUGAGGCGCGAAAGCCAGGGGAGCAAACGGG
rnacentral:rRNA from 1 species